rnacentral:rRNA from 1 species
AUUGAACGCUGGCGGCAUGCCUUACACAUGCAAGUCGAACGGCAGCACGGAGCUUGCUCUGGUGGCGAGUGGCGAACGGGUGAGUAAUAUAUCGGAACGUACCCUGGAGUGGGGGAUAACGUAGCGAAAGUUACGCUAAUACCGCAUACGAUCCAAGGAUGAAAGUGGGGGCUCGCAAGACCUCAUGCUCCUGGAGCGGCCGAUAUCUGAUUAGCUAGUUGGUGGGAUAAAGGCCUACCAAGGCAUCGAUCAGUAGCUGGUCUGAGAGGACGACCAGCCACACUGGAACUGAGGCACGGUCCAGACUCCUACGGGAGGCAGCAGUGGGGAAUUUUGGACAAUGGGGGCAACCCUGAUCCAGCAAUGCCGCGUGAGUGAAGAAGGCCUUCGGGUUGUAAAGCUCUUUUGUCAGGGAAGAAAGGCUGCAGCUAAUAUCUGCGGCUCAUGACGGUACCUGAAGAAUAAGCACCGGCUAACUACGUGCCAGCAGCCGCCGUAACAC